UUCAUAGAGUGUAAAGGCAUAAGGGAGCUUGACUGCGAGACCUACAAGUCGAGCAGGGUCGAAAGACGGACUUAGUGAUCCGGUGGUUCCGCAUGGAAGGGCCAUCGCUCAACGGAUAAAAGCUACCCCGGGGAUAACAGGCUUAUCUCCCCCAAGAGUUCACAUCGACGGGGAGGUUUGGCACCUCGAUGUCGGCUCAUCGCAUCCUGGGGCUGUAGUCGGUCCCAAGGGUUGGGCUGUUCGCCCAUUAAAGCGGUACGCGAGCUGGGUUCAGAACGUCGUGAGACAGUUCGGUCCCUAUCCGUCGUGGGCGUAGGAAAUUUGAGAGGAGCUGUCCUUAGUACGAGAGGACCGGGAUGGACAUACCUCUGGUGUACCAGUUGUCGUGCCAACGGCAUAGCUGGGUAGCUAUGUGUGGACGGGAUAAGUGCUGAAAGCAUCUAAGCAUGAAGCCCCCCUCAAGAUGAGAUUUCCCAACUUCGGUUAUAAGAUCCCUCAAAGAUGAUGAGGUUAAUAGGUUCGAGGUGGAAGCAUGGUGACAUGUGGAGCUGACGAAUACU
rnacentral:rRNA from 1 species